rnacentral:rRNA from 1 species
AGUGAACGCUGGCGGUAGGCCUAACACAUGCAAGUCGAACGGCAGCACAGUAAGAGCUUGCUCUUACGGGUGGCGAGUGGCGGACGGGUGAGGAAUACAUCGGAAUCUACUUUUUCGUGGGGGAUAACGUAGGGAAACUUACGCUAAUACCGCAUACGACCUACGGGUGAAAGCAGGGGAUCUUCGGACCUUGCGCGAUUGAAUGAGCCGAUGUCGGAUUAGCUAGUUGGCGGGGUAAAGGCCCACCAAGGCGACGAUCCGUAGCUGGUCUGAGAGGAUGAUCAGCCACACUGGAACUGAGACACGGUCCAGACUCCUACGGGAGGCAGCAGUGGGGAAUAGUGGACAAUGGGCGGGAGCCUGAUCCAGCCAUACCGCGUGGGUGAAGAAGGCCUUCGGGUUGUAAAGCCCUUUUGUUGGGAAAGAAAAGCAGCAGGUUAAUACCCCGCUGUUCUGACGGUACCCAAAGAAUAAGCACCGGCUAACUUCGUG